AUGAACGCUGGCGGCGUGCCUAAUCCAUGCCAGUCGAGCGAACAGACGAGGAGCUUGCUCCUCUGACGUUAGCGGCGGACGGGUGAGUAACCCGUGGAUAACCUACCUAUAAGACUGGGAUAACUUCGGGAAACCGGAGCUAAUACCGGAUAAUAUAUUGAACCGCAUGGUUCAAUAGUGAAAGACGGUUUUGCUGUCACUUAUAGAUGGAUCCGCGCCGCAUUAGCUAGUUGGUAAGGUAACGGCUUACCAAGGCAACGAUGCGUAGCCGACCUGAGAGGGUGAUCGGCCACACUGGAACUGAGACACGGUCCAGACUCCUACGGGAGGCAGCAGUAGGGAAUCUUCCGCAAUGGGCGAAAGCCUGACGGAGCAACGCCGCGUGAGUGAUGAAGGUCUUCGGAUCGUAAAACUCUGUUAUUAGGGAAGAACAAAUGUGUAAGUAACUAUGCACGUCUUGACGGUACCUAAUCAGAAAGCCACGGCUAACUACGUG
rnacentral:rRNA from 1 species